GUUAAGCGACUAAGCGUACACGGUGGAUGCCCUGGCAGUCAGAGGCGAUGAAGGACGUGCUAAUCUGCGAUAAGCGUCGGUAAGGUGAUAUGAACCGUUAUAACCGGCGAUUUCCGAAUGGGGAAACCCAGUGUGAUUCGUCACACUAUCAUUAACUGAAUCCAUAGGUUAAUGAGGCGAACCGGGGGAACUGAAACAUCUAAGUACCCCGAGGAAAAGAAAUCAACCGAGAUUCCCCCAGUAGCGGCGAGCGAACGGGGAGCAGCCCAGAGCCUGAAUCAGUGUGUGUGUUAGUGGAAGCGUCUGGAAAGGCGUGCGAUACAGGGUGACAG
rnacentral:rRNA from 1 species